CAGGCGUCGAGCGGCGGACGGGUGAGUAAUACUUAGGAAUCUACCUAGUAGUGGGGGAUAGCUCGGGGAAACUCGAAUUAAUACCGCAUACGACCUACGGGAGAAAGGGGGCAGUUUACUGCUCUCGCUAUUAGAUGAGCCUAAGUCGGAUUAGCUAGAUGGUGGGGUAAAGGCCUACCAUGGCGACGAUCUGUAGCUGGUCUGAGAGGAUGUUCAGCCACACCGGGAUUGAGACACGGCCCGGACUCCUACGGGAGGCAGCAGUGGGGAAUAUUGGACAAUGGGCGAAAGCCUGAUCCAGCCAUGCCGCGUUUUUUUGGGAGACCUUUUGGUUGUAAAGCACUUUAAGCAGUGAAGAAGACUCCAUGGUUAAUACCCAUGGACGAUGACAUUAGCUGCAGAAUAAGCACCGGCUAACUCUGUGCCAGCAGCCGCGGUAAUACAGAGGGUGCAAGCGUUAAUCGGAAUUACUGGGCGUAAAGCGAGCGUAGGUGGCUUGAUAAGUCAGAUGUGAAAUCCCCGGGCUUAACCUGGGAACUGCAUCUGAAACUGUUAGGCUAGAGUAGGUGAGAGGAAGGUAGAAUUCCAGGUGUAGCGGUGAAAUGCGUAGAGAUCUGGAGGAAUACCGAUGGCGAAGGCAGCCUUCUGGCAUCAUACUGACACUGAGGCUCGAAAGCGUGGGUAGCAAACAGGAUUAGAUACCCUGGUAGUCCACGCCGUAAACGAUGUCUACUAGUCGUUGGGUCCCUUGAGGACUUAGUGACGCAGCUAACGCAAUAAGUAGACCGCCUGGGGAGUACGGCCGCAAGGUUAAAACUCAAAUGAAUUGACGGGGGCCCGCACAAGCGGUGGAGCAUGUGGUUUAAUUCGAUGCAACGCGAAGAACCUUACCUGGUCUUGACAUAUCUAGAAUCCUGCAGAGAUGCGGGAGUGCCUUCGGGAAUUAGAAUACAGGUGCUGCAUGGCUGUCGUCAGCUCGUGUCGUGAGAUGUUGGGUUAAGUCCCGCAACGAGCGCAACCCUUGUCCUUAGUUACCAGCGGGUUAAGCCGGGAACUCUAAGGAUACUGCCAGUGACAAACUGGAGGAAGGCGGGGACGACGUCAAGUCAUCAUGGCCCUUACGACCAGGGCUACACACGUGCUACAAUGGUAGGUACAGAGGGCAGCUACACAGCGAUGUGAUGCGAAUCUCAAAAAGCCUAUCGUAGUCCAGAUUGGAGUCUGCAACUCGACUCCAUGAAGUAGGAAUCGCUAGUAAUCGCGGAUCAG
rnacentral:rRNA from 1 species